rnacentral:lncRNA from 1 species
CCUUAGAGUCCCAAAUGAAUGGGAUACUCUCCCUUGCGCCACCCAGAAAGACUCAUGCCUUUUCUCAUCAUACAAAAUUAGUUUGUGCAUGAAAAAAUUAAAAACUAACACCCUUUUUGUUGCCCUAUAUGGAUUGGAUUUGGUUUGUUUUAAAUUUGAUUCAAAAGGUUUGAAUUUAAACCUAAAACUUUAUCCUUAUUCUCCCAC